GAUGAACGCUGGCGGCGUGCCUAAUACAUGCAAGUCGAGCGAACAGACGAGGAGCUUGCUCCUCUGACGUUAGCGGCGGACGGGUGAGUAACACGUGGAUAACCUACCUAUAAAACUGGGAUAACUUCGGGAAACCGGAGCUAAUACCGGAUAAUAUAUUGAACCGCAUGGUUCAAUAGUGAAAGACGGUUUUGCUGUCACCUAUAGAUGGAUCCGCGCCGCAUUAGCUAGUUGGUAAGGUAACGGCUUACCAAGGCAACGAUGCGUAGCCGACCUGAGAGGGUGAUCGGCCACACUGGAACUGAGACACGGUCCAGACUCCUACGGGAGGCAGCAGUAGGGAAUCUGCCGCAAUGGGCGAAAGCCUGACGGAGCAACGCCGCGUGAGUGAUGAAGGUCUGCGGAUCGUAAAACUCUGUUAUUAGGGAAGAACAAAUGUGUAAGUAACUAUGCACGUCUUGACGGUACCUAAUCAGAAAGCCACGGCUAACUACGUG
rnacentral:rRNA from 1 species